rnacentral:miRNA from 1 species
CACAAGGCCGGAUUGAUCAAGA